rnacentral:rRNA from 1 species
AGCGAACGCUGGCGGCAGGCUUAACACAUGCAAGUCGAGCGGGCAUCUUCGGAUGUCAGCGGCAGACGGGUGAGUAACACGUGGGAACGUACCCUUCGGUUCGGAACAACUCUGGGAAACUGGAGCUAAUACCGGAUACGCCCUUAUGGGGAAAGGUUUACUGCCGAAGGAUCGGCCCGCGUCUGAUUAGCUAGUUGGUGGGGUAACGGCCUACCAAGGCGACGAUCAGUAGCUGGUCUGAGAGGAUGAUCAGCCACACUGGGACUGAGACACGGCCCAGACUCCUACGGGAAGCAGCAGUGGGGAAUAUUGGACAAUGGGCGCAAGCCUGAUCCAGCCAUGACGCGUGAGUGAUGAAGGCCUUAGGGUUGUAAAGCUCUUUUGACCGGGACGAUAAUGACGGUACCGGAAGAAUAAGCCCCGGCUAACUUCGUG